rnacentral:rRNA from 1 species
CAGUAGCCGCGGUAAUACAGAGGAUGCAAGCGUUAUCCGGAAUGAUUGGGCGUAAAGCGUCUGUAGGUGGCUUUUCAAGUCCGCCGUCAAAUCCCAGGGCUCAACCCUGGACAGGCGGUGGAAACUACCAAGCUGGAGUACGGUAGGGGCAGAGGGAAUUUCCAGUGGAGCGGUGAAAUGCGUUGAGAUCGAAAAGAACACCAACAGCGAAAGCACUCUGCUGGGACGACACUGACACUAAGAGACGAAAGCUAGGGGAGCAAAUGGGAUUAGAUACCCCAGUAGUCCCUGUCUCUUAUAC